GAGAGACCAUCAACACCGUGCAGGCCGGUCUGUGCUUCACAGGGCUGGCUCCUGCCUUCCUCCUUUGUGAACUCAGGGAUUCAUGGAGCUAAGCCAUCAACACCUGGCUGAGAAGUAGGGCCUCUCCACCUUCCUCCCACUCUGCUCACAAAUGGCCCUGAGGAGUGUCAGAGAUCAAAGGGGCCAGCGCCCUGGCCUUCUGCUGCUCAGCCCCAUAACUGCCCUCAGAGGACGGGAAUUCACACCUGCUGGUGGUGGAGGGGGCCCAAGGUGUGGAGGACUGUGUUGGCUGCGGCAUCAUCUGCAAAGCCAAGAACUGAGACGCAGUUUCAGGACCAGACCUUUUCACUGGGGCCUAGAAUGUCAGCUCCCACAGCCACUUAAGGAAACAGAAGUAUGUGCAACAAUUUUACUCUGAAGGCCUUGGAGAAGGUUGAACAGAUGUCACUGAAGUCACAUCCCUCCUUCCUUCACUGACAGUUCCCUCCGUGGCUGACACUUAGUGCUGGGUGUCUCCUCCCACUGCCAGGAGGUACAAGCUGCCUGCAGGCUUCCACCAGAGGCAGCUGCUGACAGACAGAUGCUCACACUGCCAAGGGCAGAGAUGCUGCUCCUCUGCCAGCUGCCCCAUCUUGUCUCUCUGCCUGCCCAGGCUCUGGUGCUCACAGUUGAACUUGACAGGUUCUUUUCCAGGCUCCUCAUAAGACUUUUUCCAUCCAAUAUUCAGGCCCCCUUUCCUCCAGGAGCAACCACAGGACCCGGCCACGAGCUCAGCUCUGUUUCUGCACCUGGCAGAAUGCCUGACGUACAGCAGUUGCUUGGGAAACAAAGUUUAGCUGGUGAGUGAACAAAAAGGUGCUGCAAGGCAGUGACCCUCCUGGAUCUCUACACAGCUGCCUGAAACAAAACCCUGCAUGCACCCUGCAAGAGAAUUCUGAAAACCUGGAGCCCACCACACACACACAGAAAUAAAACUCCUCUGCUUGUGCCCCUAAGAGAAUUCUUAAAACUAGGAAGCACCCCCAUUUUGAAAUAAAACUCUGCUUCACUCCCUAAGAGAAUUCUUAUAACUGGGAACCUAGGAACCCCCUCCUAGGUGGGUUCCUAGCGUAGCAUGUGGCUGAAUUCUACACUGUAAAUGUGCUGAGUGCGGCCGAAUUCUACACUGUAAAUGUGCUGAGUGCGGCCGAAUUCUACACUGUAAAUGUGCUGAGUGUGGCCGAAUUCUACACUAUAAAUGUGUUACAUGUGUCUGAAUUUUAUCCUUUGAAAUGGUUAAUGUUAUGUUUCUUUAAUUUCACCUCAAUAAAAAAUUCAUUUAAAAAAA
rnacentral:lncRNA from 1 species